rnacentral:rRNA from 1 species
UGGAAACUNUCUGACUUGAGUGCAGAAGGGGAGAGUGGAAUUCCAUGUGUAGCGGUGAAAUGCGUAGAUAUAUGGAGGAACACCAGUGGCGAAAGCGGCUCUCUGGUCUGUCACUGACGCUGAGGCUCGAAAGCGUGGGUAGCGAACAGGAUUAGAUACCCUGGUAGUCCACGCCGUAAACGAUGAGUGCUAGGUGUUAGGCCCUUUCCGGGGCUUAGUGCCGGAGCUAACGCAAUAAGCACUCCGCCUGGGGAGUACGACCGCAAGGUUGAAACUCAAAGGAAUUGACGGGGGCCCGCACAAGCGGUGGAGCAUGUGGUUUAAUUCGAAGCAACGCGAAGAACCUUACCAGGUCUUGACAUCCCGAUGCUAUUCUUAGAGAUAGGAAGUUACUUCGGUACAUCGGAGACAGGUGGUGCAUGGUUGUCGUCAGCUCGUGUCGUGAGAUGUUGGGUUAANNNCCGCAACGAGCGCAACCCUUAUUGUUAGUUGCCAUCAUUAAGUUGGGCACUCUAGCGAGACUGCCGGUAAUAAACCGGAGGAAGGUGGGGAUGACGUCAAAUCAUCAUGCCCCUUAUGACCUGGGCUACACACGUGCUACAAUGGUCGGUACAACGAGUUGCGAGCCGGUGACGGCAAGCUAAUCUCUGAAAGCCGAUCUCAGUUCGGAUUGGAGGCUGCAACUCGCCUCCAUGAAGUCGGAAUCGCUAGUAAUCGCGGAUCAGCACGCCGCGGUGAAUACGUUCCCGGGCCU